rnacentral:rRNA from 1 species
GAAUAGGGGAGCCGGAGGGAAACCGAGUCUUAAUUGGGCGUUAAGUUGCAGGGUAUAGACCCGAAACCCGGUGAUCUAGCCAUGGGCAGGUUGAAGGUUGGGUAACACUAACUGGAGGACCGAACCGACUAAUGUUGAAAAAUUAGCGGAUGACCUGUGGCUGGGGGUGAAAGGCCAAUCAAACCGGGAGAUAGCUGGUUCUCCCCGAAAGCUAUUUAGGUAGCGCCUCGUGAAUUCAUCUCCGGGGGUAGAGCACUGUUUCGGCUAGGGGGCCAUCCCGGCUUACCAACCCGAUGCAAACUGCGAAUACCGGAGAAUGUUAUCACGGGAGACACACGGCGGGUGCUAACGUCCGUCGUGAAGAGGGAAACAACCCAGACCGCCAGCUAAGGUCCCAAAGUCAUGGUUAAGUGGGAAACGAUGUGGGAAGGCCCAGACAGCCAGGAUGUUGGCUUAGAAGCAGCCAUCAUUUAAAGAAAGCGUAAUAGCUCACUGGUCGAGUCGGCCUGCGCGGAAGAUGUAACGGGGCUAAACCAUGCACCGAAGCUGCGGCAGCGACGCUUAUGCGU